rnacentral:rRNA from 1 species
CAGUGGCGAACGGGUGAGUAACACGUGGGAAAUCUGCCCUGCACUCUGGGACAAGCCUUGGAAACGAGGUCUAAUACCGGAUAUGACCUUCCUCUGCAUGGGGNUUGGUGGAAAGCUCCGGCGGUGCAGGAUGAUCCCGCGGCCUAUCAGCUUGUUGGUGGGGUAAUGGCCUACCAAGGCGACGACGGGUAGCCGGCCUGAGAGGGCGACCGGCCACACUGGGACUGAGACACGGCCCAGACUCCUACGGGAGGCAGCAGUGGGGAAUAUUGCACAAUGGGCGAAAGCCUGAUGCAGCGACGCCGCGUGAGGGAUGACGGCCUUCGGGUUGUAAACCUCUUUCAGCAGGGAAGAAGCGCAAGUGACGGUACCUGCAGAAGAAGCACCGGCUAACUACGUGCCAGCAGCCGCGGUAAUACGUAGGGUGCGAGCGUUGUCCGGAAUUAUUGGGCGUAAAGAGCUCGUAGGCGGCCUGUCGCGUCGGAUGUGAAAGCCCGGG